UACUCAGAUCCUUUAAUAAGGUUGAUUUUUUCACCUUCCUAUAGAUAAAACAAAACCACUCUUUAGAAGGGUAUAGUAAAAGAAUGGUGUAGCUGCGGAAUGAUCUAACAAAAAUAUUUGAAAGUGGGAGAGUAAAUGAAAUAGAUUACUGAUUGUGGUUGUUGGUUUUCAUUUGGAAGAAAUAUAUUUAUGAACUAGAGAUUAGUGUAAAUAAGAGGCAAUGCAAGGAUGGGAUACGGCCUUAGUUCAACAUAACACCCAAAAUACUCUGGAGAGAGCAAAUUGAAGGUAAGUCCAUUGAGGUGCAAGUUUAGGAUGCCUACAGAAAAGGUGAGACCCUCUGCGUUUACGCUGUGCUUUUGUUUCCUUUUGGAGGGUGGUAUGUUGAUCUGCAAUCAAUGAGAAAGAAGAGGAGGAAGGCUUCGGGGUGUGAACGAGGGCACGUAACACAAUCACUUACCAUAUGCAGAAAAAGCGAGCAGUAAAAAAUGGACAAAGAUGAAAAAAACUCAAAGACACAGCAGAGAGAUUUACCCAGAAAGUCAAAACCAUAUCUCUACAUUCAUGGAGGCUGCCAUCUUUGAGACACUAGGCUUUUCUCAAAUUUGACAAUUUUUAUGCGUGAUGCCAUUGGUGGGAUAAGACAUGCUUCUCUUUCUUUCUGAUUGUUUCUUUCAUCUUUUGAUUGCGAUGAGUUUUGUUGUAGGCACUUGAAUUGGAUUUUCACUGUGUUGGAUUGAUGACGGGAGAUCACAUGUUUAUACCCCGCAAGUUGGACCUAGCUAGCCGUUAGAAUUAGAAGAAUAUCGCUUUGGACAGGUCAUUUCCCUUUGAUGCUUAAGUUAGUAAUUGUGUGUGAGAACUGAGAAGUAAUAAUUGUAGAGAGAGAAAGUUGAGAGAAGGUAGGCAAAAGCCCCUACGUGUACUAUUCAUGGGGUAUAUAUGCCUUAGUUUGGGAGAUUACAUGUGUAUACCGUAGGUGCCGCCUCUCUAGCCUUUAGAAUUGGAAGGAUAACCCUUUGAAACAGGCUAUCUCCACUUUGAUGCUUAAAUUAGUAAUUGUGUGUGAGAACUGAGAAGUAGUAAUUGUAGAGAGAGGAAGUUGAGAGAAGGCGGCCAAAAGCCCCUACAUGUACUAUUCAUGGGGUAUAUAUACCUUAGAUUGGGAGUUAUUGCUCCUAAAAUGACCAAAUAAAUGUGUGAUUUGCUAAUCAACCGAAGGAUGAUAAGUCGCAGAAGUAGAUAAAUUCUUUCUUAGUGCCUCAUUGUGACAAAGUCAUUGGGCAUUUUAAAACCCAAUCAAGUAUUUUGAGAUUCCUCAACAUUUUUGACAAAAGCAGUUCUCGAUAAUGGUACGGGUCACCCUUUUACAGGGAUAUUGUUGAUGGUUUAAGUGCGCCACGAGUUAUUAUGCAAAUGUCUAACAACAAGUUCAUCGUGAUUAUCAUGACAUGUCGUCAUGGUUUUUGCAAUAUUUAUGUCUUCUCUUUUGGUCAAUUGUCUUUUCUGUUACCCCUUUCUCUUUAUUGGGGUCUCUUUCUCUACCCCCCUCUUUUCUCAAGAGGUUUUCUUUUUGUGCUUGCAAAUGAAUUGAGAUAAGAUUAAUUUAGUCAAGAAGUUUUCAAAAAUAUAAAAUGCAAUGCAAUACAUUUCGUCAGUGUAAACUCCAUAUUAUCUGAAAUGGAACAUCUUUUUGUAGAAUUUUCGUGCCAGUCAUUAUCCUCCUUGUUCUCUAAGAAGGGUCCUUGAGCCUCUGUUUUGUUGGUUGUUAUCCUUUUUGCUUUGAUGUCUACCACCAGAGCUUUCUGUCACCACUUUGAUCGCUGUUUUGCUUGUUGGUCUCAAUUUAAUUCUCCAUGUCAAAGGCGAAUUUGUCAACUUCUUACUGUCUUCUGUGCUGCUGCGUGUGUCAUUCUAAUAUGGAUCUAAGUUACGCUCUUGUGAUGGAACUUAUGAAAUGAUUCUAAAUCUCAAAUUAAUGAGAAACACAACUCAACUCUUCAAUUGCUUGAAAACAAAAGUUUAACAAGCAAGAUCAUGCUAAACUCACAAAAUUUUCAAAUAAUGCCCACUUAAAUGUGCAACGGUAGGUCUAUAGCUAAUUACAUUCUUCUUGCGCAUACCUAUAAAAGAAGACAAACAUAAGCCCAAUGAACCAUAAAGAACUGUAUUAUCCCGAAAAUUAACUCUUACAACCUAGAAGCAGCUAAUGGCCCAGAACACCUAUAACGAAUCCAAUAUGUUUAAAAUGCCUACCUCAAAAGUCAUGUAAAAACCACAUAAGUUCCUAAUAAAGCAACAAAGAUACUAGUAAGUGAACAAGUUAUGAUAGCAAUUUUGACUUGAUGAUGUGGGGCUUGGAUCCACAUUAUGUUCUGUGCUACCUAAGUUAAGUUAGACUGUUAGAGUUCAUCACCCACGAGGAUACUUGAUCCAUCUUCUCAAUCCCUAUAUCAUCCGCUUGCUUGCCUGUCAUUGGUGUCAAUUUCUCAGUCACACCAACUUUCUCGAACAUCACCUUCUCUUUAUACUUCUUAUGCUUCUCUUUUGAUUUUCUCUGUCUCCCUCCCCGAGAAGUAGCCUCUCUUAUGCGUGCCUUAAUUGCAUGGGGCACUUGCAUUUCCUUGGAUCACCUCGUUUUUUCAGAAACCAUGACCUAGAGUGCUGGCAUUUUUACUUUCUGAAAACACUAAUCACACAACUUUUUUUAUUAUCUAACGAAUAACAUAGACUUCGGAAACAAUACUCGACAAAAACCAUCUAGCAUCAUCUGUUCCUCCAUUUGUAGUAACAGGGUAGUGUAAGCUUGAACUUAACUUAAAAUCGAAAUAUUCUCUUCCUAGUCCCCGAGCUCCUAUUACAAUUUUGCAAGUAGAUUUAAUCAUUAUGUGGGUUCAUGGCCGCGUUCUAAAUUUUAUUGCCGUAGUUAGUACCUCGUAGAGUAAAAUUGCUGUAUAAAAUGGCUACACAUUCUCUUAGAGAGUAUAAAGAGGGUUAAAGAGUGUUGUUUUCUCUAUUAUGCUUAUUUUGUCUUUCUCUAAGUGUUGUUCUUCAUUUCUUCUCAACUUUGUCAUUUAGUAUAUGGUAUCUGUUUUCUGUAAGGUUUUGUUUGUAUUGCAUACGCUUUGUUUCAUUAAUGGUCGCUAUUACUCUGCUGAAGUGGAAGGUAAAAAAAACUCUGACCAACCCCCUCUGCCCAAGAAAGCUAUAUAGAUGUAAUCUAUAUUAUUCACAAUUGACCUCUUAGCAAGUAUGUGUUUCUCUGUCAUAAUUUCCUUUUGUGUUCAUAAUGAUUGUCUUUCAAUGUUGUUCAUGUUAAGUUUGCCGUUUUGUAUAUCUUCUUGUUGGUUAAUCUCCUUUUGUUUUCCAAUGUAAAACUUCCAACAAUAUUAACGUAGAAGAGGAGAUGUAAUAACUCGAAGUCCUUUUUCCCCCCUUAGCUUCUUCAUGACGCUCUUGAACAUCGAAGAUUCCUUGAACAUUCAUCUACACCUCGACUCCUCAUAUUUUGUAGUUGCAUGUAUAUGUAUAAAAGGGACACAUCAACCAAAAAAUAUGCCAAAGCCUUAAUUCCAAAAAAUGGAUAGUCUACAACUACAAGACUUAAGAAUUCAUCUUCUACAGUCGUUCAAAAAGACCCUCUUCCUCCAUUUACUUCUAUAUCAUGUUAAAUGCUCUUGCAAACCCAUUUACCUCAUAUAGUAAUAUUUUAUUUGCCUCCCUCCCUUCUUCGAGAAUCCCCAUAAUCCCAACUCUACAAAAGGACAAGCUUCUUUGAUUGCCGGUUGGAAGUUGGGUGUAUUGAUAGCAUUAAAGCUUGGUCGCAUCUUCUCAAUUUAAAGGUCCAUUGUUGGAAUUAGCUAAGGGCCUAUAUGGUUCACUGAACUAGUAUUGGAAUGGUAUGGAGAUCCUUACCAUGAUGGUAUGGAUUCUGGAUUCAUAUCUCUAUACCAACCAAUUUUGUUUGGUAAAAUCUUAGAGUGGAUACUAUGCCCAUUCAUAUUGUUUGAUUCAUUUUUGGAAUGGAUUCUAUGUCUAAUUUUGAUUCUUAAUAGAAUUAAUUACUUGUAUUUUUUUAUUUUUUUAUUUCUUUAUUUGAGAUUAAUUAUAAUUUCAAUCCUUAAAAACAAAUACGAAUUUUAUGAAAUAUUAUUAUAGAAAUGAAAUAGAAAAACAAAAAAAAAACCAUCAAAACAAAUUGAAAUUUAUAAUAACAAACA